AGACUAGGGGUGAGGCUGCUGCGAGGAAGACCCGGUCAGCUGUCCCUUCCCCCAUCGGUCCUCUUAGGGGAAGUGGAGAUGUGGGCCUCGGAGCUGCGUGGCCCGGGCUGUGCGGAUUCCCUAAACGCCGCACUUGCGCACAGCCCCUUACGUAACCGUCAGUGCCGGGGAUUCCCUGGAGGGGGUCAUUCUAUUCAACCAUUAUACACACCCCGGGCUCCUGCCGCCGCGCCGCCGCCGCCUCACAAAAUGGCGGCGCCCAUAGAGGAGACCGCGGCCGCCUCCCCGGCCCCAUUUUGUGGGAGGCGAGAGAUCUGUCAACAUGGAAAACCUCUGCUGAGGAUGCAUCCGAGUUUGGAAACCCCACUUAAGGGAUGGAGCCUGGGGGAUCACAUUAAACGGAAAAUGCCAACGACUUCUACCACCUCUACGCGUUUUUAGUUUUUCAUUUUCUCGAAGGAAGCGCCAGAAGCCUGUGGAGUAAUUGUAACUAGAGGGAGAACGGAAAGCUGAGGUGACUGCUCCGGGGACUUGGCGCGGCGCCUUGGUGGCUUUGGUUGCUCUUCCACGCUCCCGGCAGCUGACCAGAAUCUCUUGGAGGGUCUCCUGGGCCACCUCGGCCGCGCCAGUCGUGCAGUGAGACUUCUGUAGUUUUAAAAUGCCACAGUCCACGGCCCGGUCGGCACCGCUCGCCUGAAUCGUGGGCUUUGGGAACCUUGGAGGCUGCUGCUCCAGGAACUCGCGGUCGGCCGGGAGCCGGGGAGCUUCGUUGCUGGGAGCGGGCGGUAUUCGCGGACUCCGGCGGCCCUGGCGGGUCGCGGCCGGGAUCCGAGCCGGGGAUGACGAUGCUGAUGGAGCUGAUGGGGCAAGAGUGGGAACGGAGGCACGUACACUGAAAUUUAAGUCAUCCAAGUUGGGACUUAAGAUAGCAGGUUAAUAUUGUCUCAGGCGAGACUUAGAACGUCUUUUCUGGUAUCCCAGUCUGCAGUGGGCAAAUCUAUUGUCUUUAUUUCUCAUUUAAGGGCAGAAUGGAGGGAUGACAUAUUUUUACUUUUCAAGAGGCGGUUGCCACUUUUAAGUCACUGUUGUGUGUGUGUGUGUACAUACACAAACAUACGAUAGUGUGUUUUCAGAGCAAGUAUCAAAGGCUAAAGACUUGGAGUGAUACUAGUGUUUAAAAGCCUUUUUAAAAAAAUUAAGAUGUGAUGAGAAACUGGAGAAUUGACUUUUAAAAAUUUCUUUUCUGUAGAAGAGGCUAUCUUCAAAAUGGAGUCCUAAAGUAUAUCUGAUGGAUAGAAUUUAAAUUCUUAACACUGUAUAUACCCUGUGGUCAAAAGCAUCAACGUAAAACUUGAUGUUUAUCAGAUUACUUAUGUUUCAAUUUUCCUGUGGUUAGAAAAAUUAAGACAGAAGUAAGCUAUUAACGGUAUUUGCUUGUAAGAGUAACGUUAAAGGUUUAAGGAAAGGUUUGUUGAAAUCGAUAUGCAUCACACGAAUCAUUUAUUUUCAAUGUUGUUUUCCAGUUGCAGCAAUCAUUUGUGUUUACAUGACUUUGAAAAAGGGUUUAGUUUAUGUUGAUUUUGACCCUCUUAUUUAAUCUCUAGUGCAGAAGUGCAGCUUUCUGCAGGCUGCGCCUCAAUCGCUAAGUUCCACUCUCCAUCCUCUGCCGCGCUACUCCUGGCAUGUGGAUCACCAAGAUACAAUUUCUGGUCCUGUCUGUUCUUAUUGAUGUCCUUUACAGUUAAUAAAUUUGAUUGCCACUAAUCAGUCUGUAUCUCUUGCAAAAACACCACAUUUAGCAUCCAAGUAGAGUCAGAGUAUGUUUUUUAUGAGAUUGUACUAAAGUAACCUUCUAUUACAUUUCUUAUUACCAUAUUGCAUUUCCUAUAGUGGGCAGCAUAGAGCAGGUGGAUCCUGACAAAGUAAUGUUAGAGAUGUGCUGACAGCUUUACAAUAGAUAUUCUCCAACUAAUUUGACAAGAUAUAAAAUAAAAUGUAGUUCGUAGUUUUCAAGCAUUAAUGGAAAGUGUUCCUAUUAAAAAAUUACCAAUAACAGUGGAAAUUGUUGCAAUCCAAUUUGUAUAGUUUACUGUUUUGAUGACAAAGCGCUUAUGAUGGGAAAAAUGUAGUGUUGCUUUUGUAACUGCAAACGCUGCACGCCGUAAUUAGAGGUUUAUGUUAUUUUAUUUGAAUUUUUCAUUCUUACCAUCAGUUUUCAUAUUAGUCAGGAAAUUGUGAUAAAUUAAAAAUUCCCUCAUUCAACUAAACCUUAAAAAACUGUACCCAGUUUCAAAUCAAGCAUUAUCAGGUGUAUGAUUACAACAGCUGAAAUAAAUUGAGGAAUUGGUAUGCCAACUCAGUGGAGAAAUUUUGGGAUUUUAGGUCACUCUAAGAUUUAAAAAAAUAGUUUGAUUCGUUAAACAAGGCUAUUGAAGUUAAAUUGAUAUUUCCUUAAAGAUGAUUUUAGAGAAAAAUUCCUUGGCGAGCUUCGAGAAUGCGUUCAUGGCUUCUGUUGCCUGUACCUACUGCUAUACUUUUUUAUGUGGACUAAUUUGUCUUAUUUGAAAAUUUGAUUACAAUAUCAAAUCCUAGAUGAAGCCCUUCCAUUCUUAGGGUGAUUCUAAGGAGUACUGAUAACUAAGCUCUUAAAAGGCGAGGAAAUAGUUUAUUCUACUGCAGAUUAGGGUAAUCUUAAUACAGACACUCUGAUGGUAAUUCUAAGCAGUGUUGAUAACUAAGCUUUUAAAAGAUAAGGAAAUAGUUUAUUCUACUUCAGAGUAGGGUAAUUUUAAUGCCCUGAAUAUACUCUGAAUCUUUUAUAGAUAGAUUUCUGGAUGAUUUGGCCCAAAAAAUCUGAUAAGCUUUGGGGAAUUUUUUAAUUUUUUUUUCUCUUAAAGAGAAAUCAGAAAUGUGGGAUUUUUUUAAAAAUUUAUUUUCAGUAGAUAUUGGAGAUUAUGCUUUGUACAUUAAAUCCAGUUUGAUUUUUAAGUGAUAAUUUUCAAUUAAAGACUUUUUAAUAAGACAACUAAAAAAUUAAAUUUUAGUCAAUUACAAUAAUAUUUUUUGGAGAAGCAUUCCCAGAUGUGCUUUUGACGGGGAGUUGAUUUCAUUAGUUGUUUGGGUUGUUUAAUCCAGAAUUUUUAAAACUGUUAUGGGUUUAAUUUGCUACAUUUGUCCAUUCUUAUUCAUUUCAUCUGUUUUGAUCACUGAAAAGUUGUCUAAAAACUGUGCUCAUUAUACACAGUUUAUAGUAUUUUAAUACUUUGUUUAUAGUAUUUAAUAGCUUCUGAAAACUUUAAGAGAACAUACUAAACCAAGGAACUAUUUAUUAAUGGUAAUCUAUAUUUAGUAAUAAAUAUAUUUGUAACUUACUAAAUGUAAGUUUACUAAAUGUAGAUUACUAAAUCACUGAGUAAAUAUUUCUUGAAUAUUUGGACAAGAGAUGGGGGGAGGGAGAAUGACUUGACCCUCAAGAAACUUAACUGCUACCUUUAAAAGGUUAUAAUGAAGCUGGGCACAGUGGUACACACCUGUAGUCCCAGCUACUCAGGAGGCUGAGGCAGGAGGACCCCUUGAGCCGAGGAGUUCGAGGCUCUGUCUCUUAAAACAAAAAAAGUUAUAAAAAUAUUCAGACUGGAGGGUUCCUAACUUUUAAUACUUAAGCAGGGUCUUUACCACAGAGUUAAAUUUAAAAUUCUGUUUAGAAUGGUAACAAAUUUAAUUAUGUACAAAACAGCAUCACUUUAGUGUUAGGAUCAGUGUUACUCAAAGUGUUGUAAUGUUAAUAACAAGCAUUUAAAUCACAUUGUUUGAAAACUGGGAUCUACAAAAAAUAUGAUUCCAAUAAUUAACUUUUUAAUUAUGGGAAAGGCAAGGGAAUGUUCAGUGAAUGUAAAAAAAAUAUACUACUGAGCAAACAAAUUGUUUUAAUGAAUUUUGAUUUUCUGUUUUAAUUUUUUGGUACAUUGACUCUUCUUGACAUGGCACUUUGCUAUUAAUUAAAAAAAAUUAAACCCCAAAGACAAAUUAAUUCUGUAUUUAAUGCAGAUUUAAUUCUUGACUAGCUGUAAUGCUUAAGGAGUUGGCAGUCUUGUUGGCAAAACAAUAAAAUAGGAAUUAAGCUGAAAUGUAAAAUUGUGUAAUAAUUAGGUUUCAUUAAAGUAUAUAUAGUUUCCUUAAUAACUACAUGAGUCAGUAGUGUUGACUUAAUAAUAAGUUAUUUAGCUUUUGCUUUUCUCUGAAAACAUAUCAAACUCUUCAUAUAUAGCAUCGAAAUAGAUAUUCAACCUGAGCCACUGUAAAUUGUUGAAGCUUAUUGCUAUACAUUAAGGGAAAUUCUAUCCAACAGUUCAGUGUAAACAAUUUUUUAAAGGUGCUAUGAUUCUUUAACAUGAUUUGUAGUAUGUAGAACUCAAGUAUUCUAGAAUAAUCUUUGCAUGAUAAUGUAUGAGAAACAUUUAUAAACAGUCCUUCAGGUGUACAAAAUAACUGACAUAAUAUUUUGCAUUUAACUACACUGCCUCCAAGUAUUUUAAACAAAGAUGAAAUUUUUAGAGUAUUGUGCUAUAUUUUUAUAACUGAAUUUCCCUCUUAUUAACAAUACUCAUAACAUUUAGCCAUUAAUGAUUACUGAUAGCUUAAAUAAGAGUGUAGUUUCUGUUUCUAAUGUCUAUUAAUUUUAACCCCAUUUAAAGAUAUUUCCUACUUAUCAUACUCAAAGUUAAUCAGAAGUUAAAUAAAUGAUGGUCCUUCUGGUUCUCUGGAAACUGAAAAGAAGCUUCUGUUUCUUUAGGGUAUGCAGGAAUUUUUUUUCUUCCCAGUGAGCUGAAUCCAUCCUUUACGCUGCUAUUUGCUAACCUCAGUUGUUUUUCUGCUCCAUUAAAGUUGAGGCCACCAAAAAUAGUAGUAAUAUCACAACUACAAAACCCUGGGUGGAUUUGUACCCAUUGCACAUACACUUCUUGCUGCCAAUUCCUAAGAGACUUUUGAAAUAAUAGUAUAUUCCCAGCUGGACAAUAUAUUCUACUUGUGGCCUAUGUAUAGUGUUCAACAAGUCCAGGAGCCCUAUGAAACGGAAUGUGUUUACUGCAUUUUUCUAGGGAGAAGUUCUCAGCAGGCACGGGCAUCUUAAAGACCCUGUGAUGCCCAAAAGGUUAAAGCUCUAUUUGCUAAUGACAGAUAGUAAGUUUGGAGGAUUGCUUCAGGUGCAGCAUUUUAUUUUGUGGGUUGUUGGCCUGUAGGGAAAAACAUUUUGAAAUUGUAGUUAAGGAAUACCACUUCAGUUCAUCAAAUUAAAAAAAUUAUGGCAAAUAAGCAAAAAUCUAUUUCUAAAGAACUACAUACAAUAUAUUCUUACAGAAAAUUUUAGAUUAAAUGCAUGUAACUGUUUUUUUGGUUUGCCAUGUAUUGAAAAUGGAUGGAUGGGGGAUUACAUUAGUUGAUGUAUUUAUUUAUUUAUUUUUGAGGCGGAGUCUCACUCUGUUGCCCAGGCUGGGGUGCAGUAGCGCAGUCUCGGCUCGCAACCUCUGCACCCUAGGCUCAAGCAACACUCGCACCUCCACCUCCUGAAUAGCUAGGACUACAGGUGCACGCACCAUACCACACCUGGCUAAUUUUUGUAUUUUUUUAUAGAGACAGGGGUCUUGCUAUGCUGCCCAGGCUGGUCUUAAACUCCUGAGCUCAAGCAAUCUGCAUGCCCAAGCCAUUGGCCCAUCUUGGCCUUCUAAAGUGCUGGGAUUACAGGCGUGAGUCACCAUGGUCAGCCCAUAUUAAUUUAAAGUAGGCUUCAAAUAUAAUUAUUCACUAAUUGGGAAUGCCUGGGGAUGUAUAUGAAUGUAUUACCGUUUUGUGAGUAGUAGUGUGUGCUUGUGUUCAUGGAUGGCAUUCAUCAGAAUGUUUGCAAUGGUGUAGCCAGGUUACACUGCCAUCUUCCUGUUCUCCUUUGUGCUUACUUGCUCUGCCUGUAUUUGCUGCAGUUUCUAGCGAGUGUAUGUAGGUGUUGGCCCAGAACUUGCUUUUGUAGAGAUCAUACAUUGUGCUAAUUUAUCCCAAAUCAGUUUUUGUGUAUUAUCUGUGGGCCCAAUGUGUAAUUUGAACUUUAAGGAUACUACUUCAGACUGCAGUGUAGCAUAACCUUUAAAAAAAAAAAUGCUAGUUUUGCCCUAAUCUGUGCAUAUUCCAGUUGUUCAAUGGGUAUUAGUAAUACAUGAAUUACUUCUGUGCCCUUUUUGGUGUAGAGUCUCAUAUGAAUAAUUACUGUUAUUUAAAACCCACGACUCCAUGCAUUGUUUUGGUGGGAGAGGGUAGUUUCCCAUCAUGUUUUACAUAUAUGUUAGCAUUCAGAUUUUCCUUUUUAGCCCACUCCCUACUGAACUGAAGGGAAAGGGCGUAUUUGAGAGAAAACAUAUGCUUUACUCAGGUUCCAAUAAUUAAGCCAAUGCACUUGAUUUAAGUUAUACAUUUAGCUCAUUCUUAAAGUGUAAUAAAGACUUUAAGCCUCCUGGCUCCCAAAUCAGUGCUUUUUCUACUAAACAUUCUUUCUGUCUUGCUAAAAAAAUCCAAUUUUCAGAAUCAAGUUAGUUGCUAAGCAAAUAUGCAUAAAACCAUACAUUUAUCUGAAUUGUUUCUAAUUUAAGGAGUAGUAUAUAAAAGUUUCAACAGAAAUCAUUGAUUAGUAAAAGUGAUGGAAAAUCAGCAAAAUAAAAAUAGAAUUAGAGUAGGCUAAAAGGCCCUUCUUUAGGGUAAUCGGAAAACUGAGUUCAAAUAUAGGGUCUGGGACUUCUCAGGUGAUAUUUUAUCUUAAAUUAGAAUCUGCAUGAGGUAGGGUGGGGCCACUCAUGCCUAUAAUCUCAGCACUUUGAGAGGCCGAGGCAGGAGCGUCCCUUGAGACCAGGAGUUCGAGACCAGCCUGAGCAACAUAGCAAGACCUUCUCUCUAUUUUUAAAAAACUAAAAUUGGAUUUAAAUAAAGAAUCUGCAUGAACUUUCUUGUCACUUAUUCUUACAUAUUAUUUGCCAGUGUGCGAUACUUAAUAACCAAGUAAGACACUUGAAAUGAGUCUUUUAAGGCUACAACUUAGGUAACAUUUUAUAAAUAUUACUGCUACAUACAUAAUACAGUAACUUUUUUUAGCCUCACAAUAAUACCUUGUACAAUUUAUAACUGCUAAAGGGCCUAUAGAAGGCUACCCACCUAUGUAAAAAAAAAAAAAAAAAAAAAAAGGUCCUAGCUCUGUCUGGUGUAGCUUGGCAAAUUAUUUUUGAUAUGAAUUGCCAGGAAUAUAGGGGUAUCAUUCCUUGCUGAUAAGAGCACAUACCCUUCCUUUGCUGGCUAAGCUAUGUGAUUCUGUAGGACCUUAGUGUCAUGGCCAUCCUUUCAGUAGUAAGCAGAUUUAGAGAAGUUGUCCCAUUGUUACCUUAUUUCAAUAGUUUUUGGUCUUUCUAUAUUGUGCAUAACCUCACUUAAUCAGAUUGUUAUGACUGUUUCCCCCCAGGAAGUAUAGGAAGAUAAAAAAAAAAAAAAGCCAGGCCAGAUAUAUAUGACUGAACGUGAGCUCAGCAAAUGAUAUAGGUGUCUUAAACAUACUUUCUUUUUUUUUUUUUUAAAGGGAGGGGUUCUGGCUCUGUCACCCAGGCUGGAGUCCAGUGGCUCAAUCAUGGCUCACUGCAGCCUUGACCUUCCCAGGCUCAAGCGAUCCUCCUGCCUCAGCCUUCUGAGUAGCUGAGACUACAGGCAUGCAGCCCCACACCCAGUUAAUUUUUUUAUUUUUAUUUUUGUGGAGACACCGUCUUGCUGUGUUGCCUAGGCUGGUCUUGAACUCCUGAGCUCAACCAGUCCUCUCACCUUGGCCUCCCAAAAUGCUGGGAUUACAAGCAUGAGCCAGGGCACUUGGUCCAUAUUUUGUUUCUUAAAGUCACAAGUUAAAGCUGGAGGUUUCACCCAGAAUCAAAGUGCCAGGUAGCAUUUUAGUCCAGCCUAGGAUAAGCAGCUGAGUUUCCAUGAACACAGUACAAGAAUUCAGGGAUAUCACUUGCUAAAUGUAAACCAGUUACCUCCGUAAUUUCCCAAAAAUUUUAUUGUGACAAACGAGUGCCAUACUCUGAACAUUAAAGGCUUUUACCUCCAGCUGUCCAAACAUUGUGCAUGUUAUUCGGGUAGAGGCACUGGUAUGGUAGGAGUUUCUCCUUUAGUGUCUUGUAAUUGACAACAGAUCCAGCAUUUAUGGAAUGUAUUGUUAUUGUAACUUUUGAGUUUCCAUAGCCAAGAACGUAAGAGUAAUAACUAGGUAUAGUCCAUUAUUUUUAGUAAAGUUAGUUUUAGUUAGCCUUUGAUGGUAGACACUUCUCAGGUUAUAAUUCAGACUCAAUAACAAAGCCAGAAAGUUCAGGAAGGGUAGGGUAGUGCUGUGGUCUGAAUGUUGAAAUCCUAACUAUCAAGGCAUUAGGAAAUGGAACCUCUAAAAGGUGAUUAGAUCAUGAGGGCAGAACCCUAAUGAAUUAGUACCCUUAUAAAAGAGACCCCAGAGAACUGGUUUGCCCCUUCUGCCUUGUGAGGUUACAGCAAAAAGACCAUCAUAUAGGAAGCAGGACCUCACCAGACACCAAAUCUGCCAACGCCUUAAUCUUCGACUUCCCAGACUCCAGAACUGAGAGAUAUAAAUUUAUUAAGUUUAUAAGCUACCCAGUCUUUGGUAUUUUGUUAUAACAGCCCAAACUAAGGUAACAAGAAGCAAUCCUCACAGUGCUUGCUUAAUGUCUCAGGUAAGGAUUUAUUUUCCAGAAAGAAAGUGACUAAAUAGAUUCCCUCCAGAAAGAUUUUCAGAUCAGUAGAUCUGCCUUAAACUAAUGUAGUCUUUGGACCCAGUUCAGAAGUGGCCAAGGCCAAUCCUCAAUGCAUGAAAGUAAAAGUUAGACUGUAUUUAAGGGAGACAAAUUACUAGUUAGGAACCAUCGAAUGAGGUCAGAGGCAAGACCUUACUAACAGAUGGGCAAGUUAAAUGCUAUCUUCUGAAAAUUUUAGUUGCUUCAUGAUGGACUCAUUUGGAGCAUAUCUGGAAAGUUUUUUGGACAUGUCUAAAACACGGGGUUGAAUUUUCCUUACAAGCCAGGGUUAGGACAGGAGGUCGACCUGCUGUCUAGAUAGUCUCAGCACUACCAGAAGCUAUUUGUAAGCUGUACUACUAGUCUGGUGACUCAAGUAGGAAGUGUCCAGGAACCUUUCUUCUAGACACUGCGAGAAACCAAAGAUUAGUAAUAAGAAAUUGUUUGAUAGACAAGAUGAACAUCUUAAAGCAUAGAUUCAAGACAGAGGACCUUUGUACCUGACAAGUACUCAGGAAGACUUGAAAAGGGCCCCCGCAGGUGAGUUUCAGGCUCUGUCUUCCACUCAUGAACCUGCAAAAUCCAAUCCUUGCUGCUGAAGAUUUCUUAAGAAAAAUGAACAGUGUACCUGGCCACUUCAGUGUCUUUAGAAUCCCAUCUUGGUGUUAUACUUUGCCUAUUGAUUCUAGAUGGAGAGGUAUCAAAUGCUUUACAAAAUCUCAAGGAGUUAUAAACUACUUUUACAAUCUGUGUUAUAAAGUGUAUUCCCUGGUUAUUAUAAAUAGGCAAAAUGCUAUUCCAAAUCUAACAAUAAAGACUUUUGCCAAUACUCAUUGUUUCAGCUUUCAAAUAUGUUAAGUAUGUUUUCUACCCAUCCUACAAAAGUAUACAUAAUCACUAAAACUUAUGAACAACACAUAUAUGAUAUUAACCUGAAUAUUUACAGAGAGCUCCCCGGAGGGAUGAUUUUAUUUAUUAUGUUAAUUCUCUAUUUGUUUAGUUUGUGACCUGAUCUUAAUAGUAACAAGUGAAUGAGUUAGCAGAGGAAAUCAGUUAAUAAAUAUAAGAGCAACAAUGCCUGUGAAGAAGUCACCACAUGGGCCAGGCACAGUGGCUCAUGCCUACGUCUGUAUAAUCCUAGCACUUUGGUAGGCUCAGGUGGGAAGAUCCCUUGAACCCAGGAGUUUGAGACCAGCCUGAGCAACAUAGCAAGACCUUAUCUCUACUAAGAAUAAAAUUAAAAAUAAAAACAUGAAGAAAUCACCACAGCCUUAGUUUAGUAACGAUAACAGUAUUUUGUAAUAUCCACAGCAGAGGAGACUAAGGACUAGAUAUUUUAGCUCCUCCAGAAGCGAGGAAUGUUUAUUGUUUUUACAAUUGUCUACAAUCAAGAACUACCCAAAAGCUUGAGGAGCAUCAGUCAUUUAUGACUUUUCAGAAGUUAAAGUAUCAUCUCAGGUGAGGACAGCACUUUCUGCCACCUAGGAAGAAUAUGGAGAAAGCAAAAUUUUUUACUACUUUGUCUUAAGAACAGACUGCAUGUCUAGAAGCCAAUUUGGUUUUUUUCUCCAAGCUGCCAGUUCCCUCUUCAAUAUUAUACAGUGUUUUGUUUUGGUCAUAGCACCAAUUACUAAUUUAAAUGAGAUUUAACGAAACUCUUUCAAUAAUAAAUAAUACAUAACAAAAUACGUGUGUGACCAUAUAUUUGCAAGAAAGGGGUUGUGCCAUGAAUCUUUUUUUCUCAGUUUAACAAAUAAAUUUGCAAAGGCAACUUUCAGGAAUCAGAAUGUUAUUUUAAAUAUUAUUAACAAGACAACAAAUUAUUCAGACAACUAAUCAGAAUUAUAGACUUUAAACUUACGUUAUUUUUCACAGAAUAUAGCAACACUGAAAUCCAGGCGUCCAGGAAGACUAUUUUACUUGAAAUAAUAUUUUUAAACCCAGUUUUAUGAUAUAGAAUAGAAUUCUAUUUGCUUUUCUGCAGCUUUAGGGAAGAGGGGACAUUUUCCCCUUUUGAUAUUGCUGGUUUUUUUUUUUUAUUUUAAGAAAACAGCAAUUAGAAGUGUCUAAAUAUCAGAUUUCCAUUAGCUAGCAUCAAGAGAGAAGAGUAGGUACAAACUUAAAAUUCAGAAAAGGACAGAAAGGGCCAGGCAUACUGGCUCAUCCCUGUAAUCCCAAACUUGGGGAGGCUGAGGUAGGAGGAUUGCUUGAGGCCAGGAGUUCAAGACCAGCCUGAGUGACGAAGCAAGAUCCCGAUCUCUACGGAAAGAUCAGCCAUUCCUGGUGGCUCGCAGCUGUAGUCCCAGCUACUCAGUAGACUGAGGCGGGAGGAUUGCUUGAGCCCAGGAGUUCAGGGCUACAGUGAGCUGUGAUGGCACCACUGCACUCCAGCUUGGAUGACACAGCAAGGCCCUGUAUCAGAAAAUAAAGAGAAAAAGGACAGAAAGAUAAUGCUAACAAAUGGAAUAUGGAGCAUAUAAUGUCUUGCCUCUACAUGUAAUUAAGAAUAGAAGUAAAAUUUAUCUCAGAUUAAGAUUUUUUUUGAAACAAUCUCAACAGUCUAUAUUCAGAUAAGACAGAUUUUAAUAAAAUUAUAUAUGUCAGUCAUCUGUUUCAAAAAUUUCAGGGCUAUUUUUAGUCUUUAUCAAGCAUAACUUACAGUUAUAGAUAGUUGUGGUUUUAGAAGCUAUUCUAUUUGUUAUUCCCUCUGUAUCCCUUAAUCCCAUGCCUCAAAUUAUUUCAGAAUACUUUCCCAAUAAAUGUACUAACUUGUUCUUUUGUAUUCCAAAAAUGUGAAAGGUGUUAAAAGUUUGUGUUUUCAGUGCCUUUGGAAACACUUAAAAACGCAUCUUUGAAAUUGUGUGUCCAAACCAGUAUUUCCCAAA
rnacentral:lncRNA from 1 species